UUUUGUCUUACACACUGAAGUAUUUAGGAAUAAAAAAGCAUCAAGUCUGCAACUUAUUCUCAAAUAGUUCAGAAAAAAUUAUAUAAACAUAUGCUAAUAUUAUAUUAUAAAUACAUACAGGAGGCAGAGUGAGGAGAAAGGAAGGGCAGAGGGGAAGGGUGGGGAGAGUGAAGAAAAUUUAACGUGGUAAAGUAUUAAAGUUGGGAAAUCUGAGUGGAAGGUAUAAGAGGUUCUUUGACUCUUCACGCAACUUUUACAGAUGAAAUUAUUUCAAAGGAAUGUUUUCAAAUCAUAUAGAUAUGGAAAGAUUCAAAAUAUUCUCUCAAUAAUGGAACAGAUUAAUUAAAACGUCAGGUGAAAAUGGCUAGGUGGCAAUGUCAUGGACAGUUCAGUAUCAUUUCUGCCAUUUAAAAUUAUGGGAAAUUAUUUCAAAUUGCAUGCUUAAAUAUGGGAAAUAUUACCAUAAGUUAUAUGAUGAAAUUCUUCAAUUGUUUAACACGGGGUCCCACAUUUUCACCCAUGAAUUAGGUAGCCCCAUCAAUUGCUGUAAUAUUUUCAUAAAAAUAACCAAAAUAAAUUAGUUAUUUCUGGAUAGGAAUAUAUCCGGGUGUUUAUUAAAUUAUUCUAUGUAUUUUCAGUAUGCCAAAAUGUUUUCUCAAGUUAACAAGGAUCUUUUCUUAGGUUUAUCUUAAGAUGCUAAUAUAGCCUGUGGUGAUAAAACUAGAAAAAAAAAGCAGCAAUAACAACCAAUAUUCACCAUUUUAAAGUUUUUUUAAGUUUGUUAAAUUUAUUUUGCUAUAAUUUACAUUUAAGGAAAAAUAUAAUUUCAUGAUAAAUCCCUAGAGUUUCUCUUCCAACCAAAUCACUACCCCAACUUUCCUAUAAAUAAGCUCUCAAACCACCAUUCAUAAGACAAUCCGGUUACCUUGGUGCUUUGCAUAUUUCACAUCUAUCAUAGGCUAAAGUGUGUAGUUUGGUUAAUAGCACAACUCCAUGAAUUCAUGUCUUAUCACAGGAGUAGAACUAUUAACAGCUCCAUGCAUUCAAUUCCCUCCACAUACACACAGCAAUUUAAUAGCCAGCCUUUUCUGUUUUCCCUGCUCACUCUGCCUGCAGCUUUCCUUUUGUCUUUUGCAUUCUUCCUUGCUUUUCUUAUUGUUGGAUGUCUUUGCUACUCAGGAUUUAGCUUAAUUUAAUUCUCACCUUACACUUUCCCCUGGUUUCACUUCUCCACCGUCUCCUUCUGCUCUGUAUUUGCAGCUGUUCCUGACCUCAUCACCAAACUAGGUAUCUCUCUUUUUUACAACAGCAUUUGAACUACCCUGAACUAGAGUUUACUUUAAAAGAAGUCUUGGCUCAGGAUGCUCUUCCCUCAUCUGGAUCCUCUGCAAGGACCUCUCUGCUGAAACAUCGCCUCUUCAAAACUUUUCUUUAGCCACACCUACAAUCCCUCCCCUCCUUCCAAGGCCAUCACUCCAUCCCCUCCCUCCAUUAUUUUUAUCACAUCACUCACGACUCUGGAUAUUCUCUCAUUUAUUUGUGUAGUUACGCAUAUUACACUCUCCUUCAUUAGAUAGAACCUAAGCCCUGGGAGGUUAAGAGGCUCUAUAUUCCUUGUCCCCUGCUCUAAGCCUGGCACUUAAAACAGGACUUAGCACACAGCAAGCAUCUAAUGUCUAUUGGAGAAAUAAACUUAGAUUGAUAGGCAGAGAAAAAGAGAGAAGGAUUUGCAGAGACAGAGAAGGGAAGUGCAAAAAUGUCCAUGCUUUUGGAACAAGGUCAGAGCAAGAUUUUUCCAAGAGCCUGAAGGAUGCCAGGAGAAUACAAGCACAGGCUUGGAGGAAGCUGGUGGCACCUGGGUCCCUGGAAACCCCACUAUCCCAUCAUGCCUUAGGGAACAUGCCCUCGCCAUGCCCUCUCGCAGAAUUAGGAGCUAAGCUUCAGGUGCAGCAACUUCCCUGGCCAUCAAUUCCAGGCAUCUCAAGUCUGCACUUCAGGGGGAGACUGUGAGAGAACCCCAUCCCUGUAAGGCCACGGGGCAAGGAUACCUGCACAGGAGAGUGCCUGAUCAUUAAAGCCAGGGAUUCCCUGCCUGAAGAUCACACAUGCCAGAGAUCUUUGGAACAUUUGCACUUCUGAGCCUCUCUACUCUGUUCAUGCGGCUCCCAGUUUCUUAGACCCCCACCCUCCAAGAUGCGGCAGGAGCUCACUUAUCUUCAUAAACCCAAGCUCUCUCCUGGAGCCCACUCUAUGGGCAGGGUCUGCUGGGAACUGGAGCUUGCCAUCUAGUCACAUAGCCUAUCAUACAAUCACAAUAAUUCAGUGAUUAUAGGACAGAUUACUAAAUAGGCCAUCUGAUUUUUGAUAUUAAAAAUAACCCAGAAGUAUCAGAAUUUACAAUACUCAAUUAGAUUUCUAGCCAUGAGUAUCUAUCUCACUAAGAGUAGCCAGAAUCCUGUACCAAUGAAUAUAGAUUUCUACACAGGAUACAAUGUAAUCUAGUAAAGAAAGUGAAUGAUGAAAGUAGCUUGUUAUCUGACAAGGAGACCACAUGAUCGGUUCCCCGAAAAUCACAAAAAAAAAAUCUUUUGGGUAUUUACUACUUGGCCAGUCCAUGAAAAUAUCAUAGAAAUUAAAAACUCUGGGAAGAGGAAAAAAAUCCUAACAAAUUCUCACAGAACUGAGUAGUGAUAUGCUAGUGAACAAUUGAUUAUGAUACAAAAAAGGGUGAAAGAAAAAGAACACAGCUCUUCUCUUUCAGGGUACUUUUCAAAAGGGAAUAAGUAAUUGACUGUUCCUUCAACCAAGCAAUUCUCCCCUAUCAUUUGAAAAAUAUAUUCUGGGUGCAGUUACAAAAUAAGAUAUAGAGUCUUGUUAUUGUUGUUGUUUUUCCUGGCUCACCCUUUGUGUUGCUGGGCAUCACUUGAUGAUAAAUAAGUAAUUCACAAGUUAUAGAGCAGCAGCAUCUUGCUUAGAGAACAGGAGGAAAAGACAACCAAAUGAAGUCUUAAAUAUCCUGGGAGUAUCUGGGCCAUUUAAAAUAAUGUGAAGUAACCAAGACCACUACUACAUCCCACUUCAUGUUCUUAAAAACCUACUCAUGAACAGCUGAAGCUGAACCAAUUCUUAGUACUUUAGACAUCCUGGGGGUCAGAACUACUGACCAAGUCACCACAGGCAGUGUUCCCCUCCUGCCUGCCACAAAGAUGGCACCACUAGCAGAAAAGAAUCAGUGCUUGUAAUAGUAAAUGCUCUGAUCUUGAAUUCAUUAACAUCUUUGGGUUGUAGCAUUCAUUCAUUCUGAAAACAAAUAUUUAUGGGGUGAGAUGAAGAGACACAACCCAAAUAACAAUGGCCACAGGAAGUGCCAACCUAAAGGAAACCUUACUGAAGGGAUGUGUCACUGCAGUGUGAAGGUAAGUCCAAGUACUGCUUGAGCCAAAACCUAACAGAAGCAGCCUCCAAGGCUUUAGAUACAUUUCAAUCUUGUCUUCAAAAGGUUAUUAUGAAAAAGAGCAGUGGCAACAAAAUUCAGUUGAAAAGUUUCAUAUGAAGACUUAGCUUGGGAUGUCUUAGUCCCUUCUUUGUCAUACCCCAAACCACUUCCGCACAAAAUUGCUAUAUCUCCAUAUGGUUCCAUAGAAACUAGGCACUUUUCAUCUGGGGGCAUGAAAAGCCCUGGUUAUCAUGCUCCGAACAGCAGGAAGUAUUAUUAAGUCUAAUCAUUACUGCUAGUGCUUUAUAGUAUACCUUAGGUUAUUGCCUGAUUUUUAUGAAUAUAGACAAUAAUCAUUAACUCUUAGCGGCAGUAUAGAAUCAUUUCCCCCCACUGUUAAUGUUCUCCCUCAUAAAGGACAUGGAUGAAAAACCUUUGGGGCACCUAAUUCUUUUAUGGAUGAUCCAUGAGCAUAAAGCUAUGACUGUUUAUCUCUUAAGUGUAAUUACCGUAUUUCUCACAUCAAUGCCCACGGUUGAACAUCAAUUAAAACUAGAUGUCCAAUUUUCAUGUUUCAAAUCAAUUUAAUUGUGUGAAGAAAAUCCGUGUUGUAUGCCCUCUGGUAUGUAUCUUUCAGGAGGAAUUACUUUGCCAAUUCUAGAAAGGGUUGUGGAAUACGAGGUGGUUCCUUCUAUGAAAUAAUCCAAUUCUGUAGGCAGCUGCCAUCAAGACCAGAGCUGCCAUACUUGUUCAGAGUAUUUUAGGUCUAAUAGGUAAAUUUUGCUCAUAUUUAGAAAACUGGUAUUAAGUUCAACUUACCUAUAGUAUUUUUUAUACAAAAUCAUUCCCAUGUAAAAAGCUUCAUAGUAAUUAGUUGCUUUUUUCUCCUGAUUAAUUAGUAAUUCACUUAAGGAAAAGGUUAAAGUCAAUACAGUUUCCCAAUUUAAACCUGAAGUAAGUGGAAGACAGAAAACACUAACAUUAAGAGGAAAUAAUGAAAUGGAAAACUGACAAAGAGAAUCAGCAAAGCCAGAAGUUGGCUCUUAAACAAGACUGAUAAAACAACCAUCUAUCAAAACAGAUCAAGAUGAAAGAAAAAAAAUAGAGAAAACAGAAAUUAUAAAUAUUAAGAAUAAAAUAGUGACCAUAACUACAAAGUGUACAAAAAUUAAAAAGUAUAAUUAAGGGAUGUUAUAAACAACUUUAUGACAAUAAAUUUGACAAUGUGGAUGAAAAAGACAAAUUCCUUUAAAGAUACAAGUUACCAAAACUGACACAAAAAGAAAUAGAGAAUCUAAAUAAUAUUGUAUGUGUUAAAGAAAUUGCAUCUGCAAUUAAACAGGAGAAAACUUCCUGGAAGAAAACUCUAAGACUAGAUGUCUCCAUUGUUAAAUACUUUCAAAAAUUAAUAAAAAAAGAUAAUACCUAUCAUACACAAUCUUUUAGAAAAUAAGGCAGAAAAUAUUUCAAGUAUAGGACAGUACAAUCACUUUGGAAAUCUCUUAAAGUUUCUUCAGCAAUAAAAUGUAAUCUAUUCUAUGAUCCAACAAUUCCAUUCCUAGGUAUUUAUGCAAAAGGAGUCACACCACAUACCUACAAAAAGCCCUGAACUACAAUGUCCAUGGCUGCUUUAUUCAUAAUAACCCACGUCUAAGAACAGCUUGCAUGUCUAUCCAGGGACCAACCUACUAUUAUAUAUUCAUACAGUGGACUUUUCAUGAGCAUGAAAAAAAAUAAAGCUACUCAUAUAGGCAGCAAUGUAGAUGAAUCUCAAAAACAUUAUGCAGAGGAAAAAGAAACCAGAAAUAAAAAGUACACACUGCAUGAUCCCAUUUCUACAAAAGUCUAGUGUGGGUAGAGUCAACCAUGAUGAUAGAAAGUCAAACCAGGAAUCAAGGGUUGCUUCUGGGGGCCAGGGAAUAGACCGGAAGGAGGACGGGGAAGCCCCAUAAGGCUUUGGUUUACCCUUAUAUACACAUGAUAAAUGAACAUUUCACUACUUGCAAACUAUGUGUCAAUUAAGAGAAAGGCAACACAGCUCCUUAGCAUUAAGAACCAUUUUAAGUUCUCAUGUUAACAUGUUUUCUCCCUUUAUGACUAGAUGCCUUCCCAACUCUAGGGCUGAAAUAAGCCUUUUUCAUGGUUCUCAUCCUUUGGCCACUUCUCAUGGAACGAGUUUUGUUUUGUUUUAAUAAUGUUUUUUGCCCAGCCAUCUGGAGCUUCCAGCGAGGGCCCUGCCACAUGUCGCUGAAAUGGUUCUCCACUGUUGCUCCGUUUGUGCACGGCCCAUGCAUUCCCAACACACCCAUCCCAAGCAUAGACCUUGUACAUGUUUCACAUUUUACAAACUCUGAAAAAGAACAGAGAGCUCCCUCUCCAAGCCCCUACCUUUGGAAGAGUUUUAAACCACCAUGCCAAGUACAAACCCUUUCUUACCCCACUGGGAAGCAUGGCAGUGACUUGACCCCAUUCUAGACACAGGAACAUAGGGGAAAUCUGAAGACAAGACAGAACUGGAUUUCUAUUCAGCUUGAGCCUCUAGAAUCUUCUCAUGGUUGCCAUUCUUCAGACCAAAUGCCACAUUGCUCGAAGUAAAAUGGCUCCUGAGGGAGAUACUGGAUUGUGUGCACAAAGUAUAGAUAAUGACUUUGGUCUGAACUAUAUUUGCGAUGUUUAUCAGAGUUUAGAUUGUCAGUUUUUAGAUAAAAGCUCUCAAUACUGAAUAGCAUAUGGAAUAGCUGCAAAGAAAUAUGCUUUGGGCUUAAGAAUCAGCAAGUGUUUUAUUUCACAUCAUACUCAAGCAUUCUCUAGAGCUACAAAUUACAAGUUCUAUAAUUUAGGAGCCGAUUUGUAUUUCUGCAAAAGGAAAUUAAAGAUGUCUAGUGUCUUCUGAAUUCGAGCUGAGUGGAAAGCAAGGUCCUACAAAUUUUUUCCAAAGAGAUAAAGCACAAAGUGACAACAGUUGUUCAAUGGUGUAAAGCUUAUUUAUGAUGCUCACUGCGUACAUCAUUUGAAUCAGAUUUUUUUUUCUGGCCACGCCUACAGCAUGCAGAAGUUCCCAAGCCAGGGAUAGAACCCGAGUCACAGUGGUGAUAGUGCCAAAUCCUCAACUGCUAGGCCAUCAAGGAACUCCUUGAAUCAGAUAUUUUGGAAAGACUUAUUCCAUAGGUAUUCUGCAAUACAAACUCAAUUUGGCUUUAGGAAAAAAAAAAUAUUCCCAAAAUAGAAAACUUCCGCAUCUUUGGUUUCUGAAAUUUAUAUAAGAAAAAAAAAAAAGCAAAAGAAGAUGGUCUGAUCUAUCCCAGUAUGCAUUUAUUGUGCUGAACAUAUUAAAUGCGUUUGUUUCUGUUCUACAGUCACAACACAGAAUACAUUUCUAAUGGUGCAAUUCUUACUAUUACAAUUAAACCAAGGUCAUGAAUAAAGUUAUACCAUUAUAAAGGGCAGGAAAAGCCCACAUUAAGAAACCUCUCCAGGAGCUCCUGUUGUGGCUCUGC
rnacentral:lncRNA from 1 species